GUAGCGCCCUACCUGGGGGGGAUGAGAACCCCCGACCGGGGUUCGACAACUGGCGCAGCCAGUUGGACAGACCGGCCGCAGGCCGGGCUGCCCGCAGGGCGAGCGCAGCGAGUCAAUCCCCCCCUCACCGCCA
rnacentral:sRNA from 1 species